rnacentral:rRNA from 1 species
CAGUCGCCGCGGGAAUACGUAGGUGGCAAGCGUUAUCCGGAAUUAUUGGGCGUAAAGCGCGCGUAGGCGGUUUCUUAAGUCUGAUGUGAAAGCCCACGGCUCAACCGUGGAGGGUCAUUGGAAACUGGGAAACUUGAGUGCAGAAGAGGAAAGUGGAAUUCCAUGUGUAGCGGUGAAAUGCGCAGAGAUAUGGAGGAACACCAGUGGCGAAGGCGACUUUAUGGUCUGUAACUGACGCUGAUGUGCGAAAGCGUGGGGAUCAAACAGGAUUAGAUACCCCAGUAGUCCCUGUCUCUUAUAC